AAAAGUUUGACUGCCUGAAGGACAUCCCUUCUUCCCUUCUCUCAUCCUUUAGACUUUCAUCAAUACUGUUCUUGAUUUCUUUCUGUACAUUGCUUGACUAUUGUUAGUUUUUCUGAGUGUCACUCAAAUUCCCAUAUGACAGAAAGGCAGAGAAAAUUUGAUACCCAUCACUGAGAAAGUUUGGGAGAGUUCUCAAAAGUAUUACAUAUUUUUGCAUGGCUCUUACUUUUCCCUAGGGAUUUCCUUAUGGCCACUGUUGGAGAACAAGACUGAGAGAUGACCUCUUGUUCUGACCCACUACAGCCUUUCUUAUGUUCUUAUAAUUAAGACUGUGACAUGGAAGUGCGGCAGUUCCGACUUUGGGCACAAGAGGUAGAUGUUUUCACAGGAAACUUCCAACAAAUAUUCUGAUGAACAACUCUGUUAUACUCCGGGGGACCAGCAAUUGUUCAUUUCCUCCUUUAUGUGUUCUUUAGUUGCAGAAGUGAUAUAA
rnacentral:lncRNA from 1 species